GACGAACGCUGACGGCGUGCUUAACACAUGCAAGUCGAAGGGAGUGGCGAACGGGUGAGUAACACGUGAGUAACCUGCCCUUUUCUUUGGGAUAAGCCUGGGAAACUGGGUCUAAUACUGGAUGGAUUGGGAUGGGCUCGCGGCUUAUCAGCUUGUUGGUGGGGUGGUGGCUUACCAAGGCUUGGACGGGUAGCCGGCCUGAGAGGGGGGUCGGUCACGCGGGGACGGAGAUACGGCCCAGACACCUACGGGAGGGAGCAGUGGGGGAUAGGGCGCAAUGGACGAGAGUCUGAGGCAGCGACGUCGUGUGGGGGAUGAGGGCCUUCGGGUUGGUAACUCCUUUCGCCCGCGGAAGGGGAGUGGGUAAAGAAGCGCCGGCUAACUACGUGCCAGCAGCCGCGGUAAUAC
rnacentral:rRNA from 1 species